rnacentral:rRNA from 1 species
GACAGAGGGUGCAAACGUUGUUCGGAAUCACUGGGCGUAAAGCGCGUGUAGGCGGCUUCUUAAGUCCGAUGUGAAAGCCCGGGGCUCACCCCCGGAAGUGCAUUGGAUACUGGGAAGCUGGAGUACCGGAGAGGAGGGUGGAAUUCCUAGUGUAGCGGUGAAAUGCGCAGAUAUUAGGAGGAACACCGGUGGCGAAGGCGCCGCUCUGGGCCGAAACUGACGCUGAGGAGCGAAAGCAUGGGUAGCAAACAGG